rnacentral:rRNA from 1 species
CAGGAUGCUGACGGGAGGUGUGGUGUUUAGUGUGUCCGUUGGAUGGUGAACUGAUGCCCAAGUUCUCUUGACUGGGGUUUGAUGGCCCAUAGCGGGUGUCAGGCCUUUAGGGUGUUGGUUCACCGUGCAUUGGUCACACGAAGAGUCGGGUUGUUUGCGAGUACAACCCAAAGUAGGUGGUAAACUCCAUCUAAGGCUAAAUACGAGUACGAGUCCGAUAGCGAACAAGUACCGUGAGGGAAAGUUGCAAAGAACUUUGAAGAGAGAGUUCAAGAGUACGUGAAACCUGCCGGAGUGAAGCGGGUGAACCCACAUGGUUGCCAGUUGGAAUCAGUCGUAUGAUUGGGACGCUUGGCCGUUUGUUGCAUUAGCUGUCGAGGCUGUGAGCAAGCGGUCAAGUGCUGUGUGUCCUCCCGGUUGUGCGAUUUAUUUCUGGCUGGCAAUGAGCCACGAAAGGUUACCUGGCUACUAGAAGCAGAUCGAAACGGUAGCGCUAGCAGUUCCUCUGGUUCUGUUGAGCGCGAAAGCUCGUUCUGUGAUAGUUUGCCGGGUGGCCGAGGACAGCUUGCACUGAGCUGCAGUUGUGUUUGCCCUAGUCUUUGGGGCUCGCUAAAUGUUCGAAUCGGUCGGUUUUGUUCGGGACUUCUGUGAAGUGCUGGGCAAGGCAGGCUGAUUGUGUGCAUGGGCAUUUGCGACCCGCCAGAGAGGUGAAGUGCAAAACUGUUCAGUGGCCUGUUGGUAACUCACCCGUCCCGUCUUGAAACACGGACCAAGGAGUGCAGCAUGCAGGCGAGUCUGAGGGUGAAGCAAAACCCGAAGGCGCAGCGAAAGCAAAGGCUGUCUGAUGGCAGCUAAGAUGUGAUCCAACUACAGCGAGAGCUGUACUGGCGCAACAUCGUCUCGUCGUAUCCCCGUGCGGGUGCGGCGAAGAUUGAGCCUGCACGCUGCGACCCGAAAGAUGGUGAACUAUGCCAGAGGAGGGCGAAGCCAGAGGAAACUCUGGUGGAGGCCCGAAGCGAUUCUAACGUGCAAAUUGAUCGUCAGACUUUGGUAUAGGGGCGAAAGACUAAUCGAACCAUCUAGUAGCUGGUUCCCUCCGAAGUUUCUCUCAGGAUAGCUGGUACUCGACGACACUGAUUUUUUCCCGGUAAAGCGAAUGAUUAGAGUGAUUUGGUUCGAAAUGAUCUAAACCUAUUCUCAAACUUUAAAUGGGAGAGCGAUUAGACUCGCUUGAAUGGAGUCUAAAAGUGAAUCAGUGGAGUGCCAAGUGGGCCAUUUUUGGUAAGCAGAACUGGCGCUGUGGGAUGAACCAAACGUCUGGUUAAGGUGCCAAAAGGACGCUCAUCGGAAACCACAAAAGGUGUUGGUUGAUUAAGACAGCAGGACG